rnacentral:rRNA from 1 species
UGGGGGAUAUUGCACAAUGGGUGAAAGCCUGAUGCAGCGACGCCGCGUGGGGGAUGAAGGCUUUCGGGUUGUAAACCUCUUUCGCUAUCGAACAAGGCCCGCUUAGGGUGGGUUGAGGGUAGGUGGAGAAGAAGCGCCGGCUAACUACGUGCCAGCAGCCGCGGUUAUACGUAGGGCGCGAGCGUUGUCCGGAAUUAUUGGGCGUAAAGGGCUUGUAGGCGGCUUGUUGCGCCUGCUGUGAAAACGCGGGGCUUAACUUCGCGCGUGCAGUGGGUACGGGCAGGCUUGAGUGUGGUAGGGGUGACUGGAAUUCCAGGUGUAGCGGUGGAAUGCGCAGAUAUCUGGAGGAAGACCGAUGGCGAAGGCAGGUCACUGGGCCAUUACUGACGCUGAGGAGCGAAAGCAUGGGUAGCGAACAGG